rnacentral:rRNA from 1 species
CCUACGGGAGGCAGCAGUGGGGAAUAUUGCACAAUGGGCGAAAGCCUGAUGCAGCGACGCCGCGUGAGGGAUGACGGCCUUCGGGUUGUAAACCUCUUUCAGCAGGGAAGAAGCGAAAGUGACGGUACCUGCAGAAGAAGCGCCGGCUAACUACGUGCCAGCAGCCGCGGUAAUACGUAGGGCGCAAGCGUUGUCCGGAAUUAUUGGGCGUAAAGAGCUCGUAGGCGGCUUGUCACGUCGGAUGUGAAAGCCCGAGGCUUAACCUCGGGUCUGCAUUCGAUACGGGCUAGCUAGAGUGUGGUAGGGGAGAUCGGAAUUCCUGGUGUAGCGGUGAAAUGCGCAGAUAUCAGGAGGAACACCGGUGGCGAAGGCGGAUCUCUGGGCCAUUACUGACGCUGAGGAGCGAAAGCGUGGGGAGCGAACAGGAUUAGAUACCCUGGUAGUCCACGCCGUAAACGUUGGGAACUAGGUGUUGGCGACAUUCCACGUCGUCGGUGCCGCAGCUAACGCAUUAAGUUCCCCGCCUGGGGNGACGCGCAGACAACACAAGAGAGAGCGNGNGAGACGCGACGACGACGACGACGGAGGAG